UUAACCAAAUGCAUUACUUUGUCCUCAUAACUUGGAUUCUCCGAAAAGAGGAAAGUCUGGUGGCAAAUUUAAGUGCUUGUUUCUAAGAUUGUUGAAGUGUUAUUUCUCAAUCAAGUUCUGGCAGCAUUACUGAAACCACCGAACUCUCCAGGGCAAUUCUCUUCAUCUUGCUUUUGGCCAGCGUGAUGCCCAGUGGGCAGCUGACACGCUAGCACUGCCUCCUUAAUCCUCCACAGAACUCUGUUCCCGUCUUCUCUAUCACCCGCAAGCACCAACUGGGAUGCAGUUAAUUAAGUUUGCCCUUUGGAAAACUCCAGAGGUCAGGAAAUUUAACCUGCUCUCUCCCCUCUUUGUUCAGGUGCUGUUGAAAGAGAGAGAACACCUGGGGACAGAGACCGGCCAGGUAUCCAGUCUGCCAGCCUUCUGCAUGGGUUUUGGGAGCCUGCAGAGAGUUGCUUGGGAUGCAGCAGUGGUUCUGAUGCUCGGAGUUCAAGACUCCAAGCAGGAGAACAACCAACAAAACAACCAACUUAGGCUCCUUAAAAUAUAGCAUCUGAAACCAAAAACAAAGAGGAAAUCACAAAGGCAUCCAGAGGAUGGAAAAAGCCAAACUACUCUCAAGGAAGCAGCUAUUAGAAUGACAAGCUGACUUCAGAAUAGAAACAGUCAAAGUUUGAAGCACCAUAAAUUUCUGCAUACUCAUCUCAGUUAAAGUUAUCAGGGAGAAAGGAAAAGCAAAAGCUCAAAAUAACCCUGAGAAAUACUGUUUGGGUGAUUCUGCUCACAAAUCAUCUUAUUUCACAAGAUUUUGGAAAGCGUCAUCACUCCCUGCUGCAACUGGGCCAUUUUGCAGCUUGAAGUUUUGAGGGACUGCAGCACAUGGGGAGUGACACAGAGGAGGGGGAAGACACCACAAGAAAGUUUUAGCAAGUUGGCCAUGAUCGUGAACAACUCAUGUGCGAUUCCAGGGGACUUUUUGGAAGAAUUUCAUACCUGUCUACCUGGAGUUCAGAAGGUGGAAGGAUCUGCCCAUUGGUUUGCAUUCCCCAUUGCUUAAGCAUCAGUCCACUUCUGGGUGGGCCCAGAGCAUAGGCUUCCCUUGCCAUGACAUAGAGAAGACACAGGACAAGAAGCAAGAAGUAGACAAAUGACCUUGACAUGAAGAAGCAGUGUACUGGUGCACCCCCAUGGAGCUGGCUUAGCCUGUGCAAGAAAGUACUAAGAAAUGGAAUGACACGAGUUUGAACCAACGCACAAGAAGAUCUGAUACACUUGACAAAGAUACUCCCUCUCUGGGACUUAUUUUGUUAUCAGUCAGAGGACAGCAUUGGACUUUAAGACCCAGUUCUGAUAGUCUAAUUAUUAGCGUGAGGUAGCGCUGGCCCACACUACGCUCCUAAUCAGGCAGAUGGGACCAGGGAGGCAGGAAUGUGUUGAAAGCACAAAAGCAUGGGUGUUGGGAAGGUCACCGAAAAGACAUGACCACCGACUGACCCGAGAGCUGGACUCGGGCACUCAGAGUCUCCUCACCCCCUCCCCUAUCCUUUGAUGUGGGUUCUGUUGUCCUCUCCCACUCCCAGAGGCUGCUUCAAGGACACAGCCUUGAGAUAAUGAUAUGGUGUUGAGAACACCUACACAACAUGUGUGAAUGAACCCAGUUAAGGCCUCUUUAUCAACUUUUAAGAUUUGGUGGGCGGAUGCGGGUACCAUUUGUCUUGCUGCCGCCCAAGACAAGCCUUCUAUAUAAGUUCCCUUUGCUCAUUAAAACUUGCUACCUGCCAGGUUGGAGUGGCCCGCCUCACUCUUUGCUCUCUCCCUGCCCUCCGCAUUGGGGGUGCCGAUUUGGGAAGCUCUGAGAGAGUUGCCAACCAACAACUAGGUCAGCUAGGUGAUGUGAAGAGCAGAUCUACUUUACACUUCUGUGUCCUACCUAGCUCCUAGCAUCCUGAUCCUGCUAGGUACCUAGUAGGUCCUCAGCAAUCCUGAAUCAGGGAAGGAUAACACAUUUUGAAUGAUUUGGAGUCUUUUGUCUCAGGCCUAUACAAAAACAUUACUCAUAUGUGGUCACAACUGGGUUUACCUCUCAUAUUGAAAGACUGGGAAGGGAACAAUGCCAGCUACAUACACAUGGGACCCUCCCACAUGACAGUGUGUCAUACCCCAAACUUGAGAUUCUGCUCAUUUUUGUUGACAGCACCCUGAUUUUGAUCCCCAGUGGAGGCACAUAUGAAAAAUUACAUGAAUUUGCAGACAGGUAUCAAGAGUAAGAGAAUGGUGGUUUAAUUUAGGAUUUUUCAGCCUUGACGCUGUCCUUGGAAGGUUUAUUUUUAUAGAAGUCAUGUAGCUGGUGACUGGUAUUCUCAAGUUCUAAAUGCAGAAGUUAUUUUGCUGGUUUUCAUUUGUGUCUCUCACCUUCUGCUUUCUGCCCUCCAGUCCCAAAGACUCAGACGUUCUGUGAUUAAUGCUUUUUGAAAAGAGUUUGGAAAAUAAAUUUCAGUUCAGUUUUGUGGUGCAAAUCACUCAGCCUUUGGGGGUUCAUAAUGUCUUGGUUAAUAAGGAUUCUGGUGAUUCAACUCAGAGGUCUGUGUGAAGUGGAGAAAAAAAAAGGCAGAACAAUUCAGCCAAGAUGUAUUUAAUUUUUAAAACAACCAUUAUGUUCUGUGCUUAAAUUUUGAGUUCCUUUUUUAUAUUUCUUAAGAGAUAAUGAAUAGCUUCAAUUUGAGAGUGUGAGCAUCCUGGAAAAAUACAGAAUGACAAAAUCUCAUUUAAUUUUUAUUAAUUUUUCAGCAAGUCCACUCUUCUCCCAUUGAUGAGACUAAGUAGGUUUUUUGAACUGGCAUUGGUCAACAUUAUUACCAACUUUGUGAUGAAUAAUAUCCUUCUUGCAUAUCAAACGUUCAGCCUCCCACACAUGCUUAAUUCAUUUUAUUCUCAAACGCUUGGCCUUGUAAGUGAUUGCUGUGAUUCAGUUUUGAAUGAAAGAAUUGCUCAGUUGCAGCCUGUGAUAAUUAUUGUAUAAGGCUUAGAUUGUUUUUUACAACCGAGAGCAAAUUCUCCAUCAGUGAUGAAGAUAAUGGGUAGCAGGUCUUUAAUCUCUCCUCACCAGCUCUCACCACACCUCCCUCACUUCACACUCUACAGACAUGAGGAUAAUCCUCCUAAGGCUUUUCCUGGAGUUGAAACUUCAUGUUGCAUGUAACUACAUGGUGAUAGCUGCUGGCCAGAUCUUUCUUACAUGCCAAAGAAGGGAUGAUUUGUUGAUCUCAUAUAACAAGGUUGUAGAAUUGUGUGGAGUUUCUUCACUGUUGCAACUUAUAGUCAGUCAAAAUGAUGUGUCUAAAUGGUUGCAACUAAAAAUAGAAUGCACAUGGGCAUUAGUAGCUUUUCUCACUCUGCGGUGGAUAGAGUAAGACACCAGUCUUAGCUGUUACCUAGAGAGCCUGCCUGCCCUUUUGCAGGUGUCAAAUAGCAAUCUGUUGAGUAGGUCCCUAAGAUUUAAUUACUGAAUGAAAUAAUUGAUUUGGGGUACCUUGUGAGUGGAAGAAGACUACUUAUGUAGUCUUCCAUGUAGACUAUAUGUAGUCUAUAUGUAGACUACCUAUGUAAUGAUUUCAGAGUUUGUGAAUCCUGUUGCUUUUUUCCAAAAGGUCUUACAACUUAGACCUGCAAACUCAGUUCACUUCUCUGCUGUUGCUGAACAAUUAGUUGCAAGUCUUUGCUGUUAUAGAUAAUUGUAAUUUCAAAUUGUGGCUCCAAGCUAUUGAUGGCUCUCUGUCUUUUCCUGCUUGCUUUGUAGUAACCUUGCAUUUCAUUCUAAUGAAGGAAAAAUUGUCAAAGGUGUAUAAAUGAAACAACACAUGAAGUACAAGGACAGCAGUGCUUUUAGCUUACUAUUUAAAAGUUUUACUUAUUUUUUGUUAUUGAGAAGCUGGAAGAGAAAUGAAGACUAUAUUCUUUGUAGUAUCAUUAAUGGAACAUCGAUCGAUUGGUUCUUUUUAGAACUUUUUGCUGGAGCUUAAAUGAAGGCAUCUCAUCAUAUUUAAAUAUACCCAGUGCAGGUUGAUAGUUCGUGGCUCUGUCUUACUUGAAUCUCAACUUAGUCAAAUAUAAACUGCGUGAUCUUGGGAAGGCAUUCAACCUCCCUGAACAUUAGCUCCUUUGCGUGACAUGAUACCUACUCCAUAGGGUUGCUGGAAGCAUUUAAUGUGAUGGAGAAUGGAAAGCCUCUAACUCGCUGCCUGGAGGAGGGUCAUGUGCACAAAAAAUGUUAAUUUCCUUUUCUCCUAAAAAUGUUGGAAGAGAUUUUCUAAGAUGCUUUUAUUUGCAAUUUUCAACUUUCAGUGGAAAAGAGGAAUCAGGACAGAGUAAUGUUAUACAAAAAUCUCUACCAUCUCAGAAAUGUGGUAAUGGGUCCUGCAAACCAAACUUCUGUGUAACCUUACUACUGACUCUCUUUUUUGCUUCUGUCACUCGAUUAAUUUGCAUGAUUAAGUACUUUUCCAUCGCAGGCAAUGAAUUCAUAGCUGGUAGAAGCCUGUAAACUACUCAUCUAUUUAAAACAAGGAAGCCAGCCCCUGUGACCAGGGACUCUGACCUUCAAACACUAACUGGGACAUUCCCCAAAGUGGGAAGAGCAUAGUUAUAACAUUGUGGAAAGCAGUCAUCUUGUUAAUUUCUCCCUUGGCCUGAGAACACGCUGCGAGUCACUGAGGGAGAAUUGGUCUGAUCCCUGGGAAUUAUAAUACAGCUCACAGCACAGCACUGUCUUAUUUGGGUGUGUUACUGGCUUCCAAUUAGAAACUUGGGGAGCUUCCGACAUGGCUUUAGAGUAAUGAGUAGCGAUGGAUGAAGCCUCUUGCAAAGGGACUUCUAAUGAGUCCUAACAUAAAGCUGUUUACUUUGUGGAUGUCUAAAACAUAGCCUAUCUGUAACCGUCAAAACUAUGUAAAUCCUUGAUUGUCCCUCUCUCCUACUCGCCCCCCCUCCCGCCCCA